rnacentral:rRNA from 1 species
AUUGAACGCUGGCGGCAUUCUUUACACAUGCAAGUCGAACGGUAACAGGCCUUCGGGUGCUGACGAGUGGCGAACGGGUGAGUAAUGCAUCGGAACGUACCCAGAGGUGGGGGAUAACGCAGCGAAAGCUGUGCUAAUACCGCAUGUGAUCUGAGGAUGAAAGCGGGGGACCGAGCAGCAAUGUUUGGCCUCGCGCCUUUGGAGCGGCCGAUGUCGGAUUAGCUAGUUGGUGGGGUAAAGGCCUACCAAGGCGACGAUCCGUAGCUGGUCUGAGAGGACGACCAGCCACACUGGGACUGAGACACGGCCCAGACUCCUACGGGAGGCAGCAGUGGGGAAUUUUGGACAAUGGGCGUAAGCCUGAUCCAGCAAUGCCGCGUGCGGGAAGAAGGCCUUCGGGUUGUAAACCGCUUUUGGCAGGAACGAAACGGUGUCCGCUAAUACCGGGCGCUAAUGACGGUACCUGCAGAAUAAGCACCGGCUAACUACGUG